CUGCAGCAGCGCACUGAAGUGGUUAUAGUGCUUGGAUUGUUGCUUUAAACCUCCAUUCUGGCUCCUGCUCUUUGGGCUUAAGUUUGGAAAAGGUAAUUUUUCAGUCACGCAGAGUGGCGGCUCAGUGAAUUCGCCCCAUAAUUCAUGUCCAGAGAGGUGACAAAUUUGGAUCUUGGAAACUGAUGUGGUUAUUAUACCGGAG